AACGAACGCUGGCGGCAGGCUUAACACAUGCAAGUCGAACGCCCCGCAAGGGGAGUGGCAGACGGGUGAGUAACGCGUGGGAACCUACCCAAUUCUACGGAACAACUGAGGGAAACUUCAGCUAAUACCGUAUACGCCCUACGGGGGAAAGAUUUAUCGGAGUUGGAUGGGCCCGCGUUGGAUUAGCUAGUUGGUGAGGUAACGGCUCACCAAGGCGACGAUCCAUAGCUGGUCUGAGAGGAUGAUCAGCCACACUGGGACUGAGACACGGCCCAGACUCCUACGGGAGGCAGCAGUGGGGAAUAUUGGACAAUGGGCGCAAGCCUGAUCCAGCCAUGCCGCGUGAGUGAUGAAGG
rnacentral:rRNA from 1 species